ACAUUAAUAUGCGUUCCUCCAGCCUGCCUAUGGUUCCCCGGUGGCUAGAAAUGGUGAUAGGUGUAAACCAAGUUCUGGGUAUCUUUCUCUGCGUUUGAGAAAAUGAUAGCUCAGAUUGGCCGAUCUGGAUUCUUGCCCCUUGUGAUGUCAUAAGGGGCAAGGUUACCUCCCCUUUCUGUGUUUUGCCUGCCCAGAUAAUUUGGCCAACCCAUGAGAGAGAGACAUCAUGUCAAAGUGGAAGUUGGUCAAGGCCACACCACCAGCCUCCUCAAAAGCUACAGACUCAGAAAUGGCACAUACCCUCAAUAGCAUCCUAAUACACAUACUAAGCAAAGCUCAUUGUGGGACUGGCUCUAGUGGCUGUAAUUCUGCACCAAGGCUGAAUUUUGGGAAAGAGACUUCAGAUACAGUAUUAGGGGACAACUAAGGUCUAUAUAAAAGCAUCCAAAGAGCACCAUGUCCUGGGACCUUUAACAGAUUAUUUGUUUUAUUUGAUUCAAUUUUGGAGAAAGUUGUAUGAAGGAAGUAGAAGCUGAGGUCCCGUGGUAACUUGUUCACUUUCCUUGGUCAGAUAAUGUAAAGAGGUUUUCAUUCAUCAGUCUUUCGGAAGAGUCUGAUAACUGAUGGUUUUACUCUCAGUAGUACGUACCUGAUUAUGUGAAAAUAUGAACAGAAAACCAGUGUAAUUUUUUUUUAGCUUUUUAAAAAACGUGUUAAUACAAGCCCUCUAUGAGAAAUCACAUCUACCAGUAAAAGCUAGCACAAAGCUAACCCAAAUGAUGCAUGAUUCUGCCCACCCAUAAAUAAUAGAUACUACUACAUACUAUAUUCUAUGCUACUGUAAUGUCCACAGUGAAAUGUUUUAGAAACAGGAUAGAUUGUAACAACAUGACUGUAACAAGACGUGUUAUUCUGAGGAAUUUAGAGUUUUCCAAACUUUCUCCGGAGCCAUCACACCACCUUUUGCACUUUUUAUGUUUUCACCAGAUGUGUGUGGGAUUUCCAACAACACACACCAAAAACAGAGAAAUUGACAUAUAAACAUAGGUAUUUUAGGAACAUUCCAACAUAACAACUCACAAAAAUCUCAAAGCAUGGCUAGAAUGUGCAGAUAAUAUGAGGUAGGAAUGUCACUUUCUCUGUCAAUCUCUAAAACACCAGUGCCAGCUUGAACAUCAACAGGGGCUGGGGAAAAUGCAGUAGUGAAGAACAUGUAAUGCCUUUCUCAUUUCUCAGCUUUCAUGUUUGCUCAAUCAGAAAUGUCUGACAGUUUGGAGUGAGAAGUUUAAAAAAAGAGUGACAGAGGGAGGGGAGGAUGGAGGGAGAGGAGAGACUUGAGGGGGUGAAAGUGAGACAGAGGAGGAGUGGGAGGGUGGUCAAGGGAGGGUGUUGUCCGUCCUGUCAGUCUACAUCACAUCGCUGCAAAGCUCAAUCGCCCGUGAAGCUCAUGAGAUUCAAGACGACGGAAUGGUGGAAAUCGAAAGAAGGAAGAUUAAAGAACAAAUGAGAGAGUUUAAUCUGAAUAUUAGAAGAGAUUCU